GAAAAAAAACCUAUAAGACUGGGAUAACUUCGGGAAACCGGAGCUAAUACCGGAUAAUAUUUUGAACCGCAUGGUUCAAAAGUGAAAGACGGUCUUGCUGUCACUUAUAGAUGGAUCCGCGCUGCAUUAUCUAGUUGGUAAGGUAACGGCUUACCAAGGCAACGAUGCAUAGCCGACCUGAGAGGGUGAUCGGCCACACUGGAACUGAGACAAGGUCCAGACUACGACGGGAGGAAGCAGUAGGGAAUCGUCAGCAAUGGGCGAAAGCCUGACGUAGAAACGCCGCUUUUUUUAUGAAGGAUCCGGGAACCGCAAAGAUCUACACUCGUUAGGAA
rnacentral:rRNA from 1 species